GACGAACGCUGGCGGCGUGCUUAAUACAUGCAAGUCGAGCGAAGUUCUUCCGGUGCUUGCACCGGACAAACUUAGCGGCGAACGGGUGAGUAACACGUAAAGAACCUGCCUCAUAGACUGGGACAACUGUUGGAAACGAUAGCUAAUACCGGAUAAUAGCAUUAACUGCAUUGUUGAUGUUUAAAAGUUGGUUUUGCUCACACUAUGAGAUGGCUUUGCGGUGCAUUAGCUAGUUGGAUGGGUAAAGGACUACCAAGGCGAGGAUGCAUAGCCGACCUGAGCGAGUGAUCGACCACCCGGGGACUCGAACACGCCCCAGACUCCUACGGGAGGCCGCAGUAGGGAAACUCACGCAAUGGGGGAAAGCCUGACGGAGAAACGCGACGUGAGUAAAGAAGGAUUUCGGUUGGUAAGGCCCGGUUUUUAGGGAGUAAGGCAUGUGUCGUAAAAAUACCCAGUAGUGACGGUACCUAACCAGAAAGCCACGGCUAACUACGUG
rnacentral:rRNA from 1 species